rnacentral:rRNA from 1 species
CAUACCUAUUCGAAGGGAUAGGGUCGGUUUGGCCGGAUUUCACACGGGUGUUGCAUGGCUGUCGUCAGCUCGUGUCGUGAGAUGUUGGGUUGAGUCCCGCAACGAGCGCAACCCUCAUCCUUAGUUACCAUCAGGUUAUGCUGGGGACUUUAAGGAAACUGCCAGUGAUAAACUGGAGGAAGGUGGGGAUGAUGUCAAGUCAUCAUGGCCCUUAUGGAGUGGGCUACACACGUGCUACAAUGGUGAUUACAAUGGGCUGCAAGGUCGCAAGGCUGAGCUAAUCCUAAAAAAUCAUCUCAGUUCGGAUUGUUCUCUGAAACUCGAGAGCAUGAAGUUGGAAUCGCUAGUAAUCGUGGAUCAGCAUGCCACGGUGAAUACGUUCUCGGGUCUUGUACACACUGCCCGUCACGCCAUGGGAAUUGGUUUCACUCGAAGCU